GUGCUCACUUCAGCAGCACAUAUACAAAAGUUGGAACGAUGCAGAGAACAUUAGCAUGGCCCCCGUGCAAAGAUGAUGCGCAAAUCCAUGAACAUUCCACAUUUUUU